GCAGGCUGAGGCGUUUGUACUGGAGGGGGGUAGUGUAUCUUGGCAGCAGAGGUACCUAGAGCUGCAGCCUGCAGUAGCAUUAACCGGGGGCGCAAGGGGAGGCUUAGGGCCUGAAAGAUUUGAGCCAGCAACAAGUCAUUAAGGAGCCUUUCGCCCUCUUCGG